GGAGAAGCAGAAACGUAACCAAGCAAGGUGCAGAGCUAUUUUCAGCCUUGGGGUUUUCACCCCAGGGUCCCCAAAGUGCUUGGGGCAGAGUACAGCUCCCCUUUGAGAAAGUCGGUGCUCUGGACUGAUGAAAAGGACAAAAGAGAAGCCAGUACAGUUUUGAGAAGUCAAAGUGUGGGCAGAACGGUUCCUUUCUGGAGGCUUUAGGGGAGAAUCUGUUUCCUCGCUUCUCCAGCCUUUAGAGGCCACCUGCAGUCCCUGGCUCACGGCCAUCUUCAAAGCCAGCGGUCGCAUCGCCCUGACCUCCGCCUCCAUCAACCAUCUCCUUGCUGACCCUGACCCUCCUGCCUCCCUCUCACAACGACUCCUGCGAUGACGUGGGGCUGUGAAAGGAAAAAUCUCUUGGGUCCCUUCAAGCUGGGAACUGCUCAGGGCAAAACUCCCUCCCAUUCUAUUCAAACUCAUCCCUCUGCUCACUGAGAUAGAUGCAUAUUCUGAUUGCCUCGCUUACCAGAAACUCAAAAGAAUGCAACCGGUUGUCUCUAAACUCAAAAGAAUGCAACCAGUUGUCUCACCUACCUGUGACCUGGAAACCCCUUUCCUGCUUGGAGCUGUCCCCGUCUUUCUGGAUGGAACCAGUGUACUUCUUACAUGUAUUGAUUGAUGUCUCAUGUCUCCCUAAAAUGUAUAAAACCAGGCUGUGCCCCGACCACCUUGGGCACAUGUCGUCAGGACUUCCCGAGGUCGUGUCACGGAUGCGCAUCCUUAACUUUGUCGAAUAAACCUCAUAAAGUGACGGACACGUGUCAUUUUUCUCGAUUGACAGGGCCAACCCGGAUAAUCCAGGCUGCUCUCCCCAACUCAAAGUCACAUCUGUAAUGUCCUUCGUGCCAUGAAAGGUCACAUAGUCACAGGUUGUUUCCUUGAACUCUCUAAGAGUCUCUGUAAUAGGAUGACCCUUCUACAAAACCCACUAUCAGUUACAGUG
rnacentral:lncRNA from 1 species